UCUUUCAAUACUUGGGAGUUGAGAAAUUAUAGUGGAAGUGAUGUUUGACAUGCUCAACCCCAUGAUGUUAAUUUUAAUAGACUUGAUAUCACUUAUGGAUAAAAUUGUCUAGACGAACUUAGUUGAAAGUUGGGUGAGAUUAUGCAAAAAACUCUGUGUUGUAUAUCUCAACAUGGUGUUACAGCCUCCGGUUGGUGCCAUGGUCUUUGCUACUAUAUAUGCAUUUACACAUGUAAAUGUGGCUUCGUCGCCCUUGUUGAUGUUAUGAUGAGGACUCCGAUGUCCAAUGAAUGAUCCACCAAGAGUGGCAGCUUGGAUUUCGGCUAUGAGUUUGUUACCGUACGUAGUGGCAACACUACAAACAAAUAUUAUUCAACUUCCUAUUGAGUGUGUGUGUGUG
rnacentral:lncRNA from 1 species